UCUGUUUGUCUGUCAGUGAGUGUUGUAUAUUAGUGUGUUGUUUUUUAAGUAAGCGAAGAAAUUUAGGUUAGAUUAGACUGAAGGGUAUCCCUUGUAUUAUCGCGAAGUUGUUUCAUUUAUCGCCAAGUCAAAGGAGUGCGCAAUGCCAAGUUCUCAACAAAAAAGCAACUACGUUCAUGGCAGAAAUUGAUGCUCGGGUACAAGAGAGAUUACAAUUUAGUCAGACUUUGUUGAGCAUGCGAAAUAGAUGAGCUAGAAAAAACAGGCUUCAAGUUAUUUUACUGUAAACCAUAAAUUUCAUUCUGUUGAUCCAACAACAGUUGCUUAUGGACAAAAUGCUGAAAGACUGUGGUGCUCAAGUGAUAAGAAUAAAAUCAAGCAGGCAUGAUUCAUCAUGAACGUGACUCAUAUCUUGGAUAGUUCAUGUUGCAAAAGUCCUUGGGGCAAGAAAAUGCUUCUGAUGCCAUCUUAAAAGCAAUUGCAGAAACACGGCAGCCACAAAGUGUAUGUGAGAAGUAAACAUGAAACUUAGUGAUAAUCCUGCCACCAACUUAGCAUUUCAAAAAUGGGGUUAUAAUAAUAAGAAGGUACCACAUUGUGUAUUCAUAUGUGCGACUAUUAAAUCUAAAAUGACAGUAUAA
rnacentral:misc_RNA from 1 species